AGAAAUUUAGGAUCACCAUUAAACCGAGGACCUUCAAAGCCCUAAACAAGAGUAAUACUCUUAAUUUCUG
rnacentral:tRNA from 1 species